UACGUAGGGUGCGAGCGUUGUCCGGAAUUACUGGGCGUAAAGGGCUCGUAGGCGGCCAACUAAGUCCGACGUGAAAUCCCCCAAGCUUAACUUGGGAACUGCGUCGGAGUACUGGAUGACUUGAAUUCGGGAGAGGGAUGGCAGAAGUUCCAGGUGUAGCGGUGAAAUGCGUAGAUAUCUGGAGGAAUACCGGUGGCGAAGGCGGCAUCCUGGACCGACAUUGACGCUGAGGAGCGAAAGCUAGGGGAGCAAACGGG
rnacentral:rRNA from 1 species